AAGGUGUACACCCAAAUAAUCUCCCUUGAAAAAAAUCUCUUCCUUCUUUGAUCUUUUAUUAUCUUGUCUUUUUCUUUUUUUUUUUCUUUUUUUUUUUUUUUCCAGCUCCUCUUGUAGGUAAUUAUGGUGCUGUGCUAUCUUGGGGCGAUCAGCUCCCUUUUCUCCACUAUCAGCAGCCCUUCGUCCAAGACCAUUUUAGCAGCACUUCUGGCUGUUGUUUCAAAGGAAUGCAGGGACAGCAUUGACUCGGCUCUUGGAGGCUUUCUAUCAACCCAACACUAUCCUAUUUUCCCAUGGACACCAUCCCAUCCCCUUUCAGAAGGCGUCAGCAGGCCAAGCUGUCUCAGCUGCUGAGACUACGCCAAUACGUUGGGAGGCAUCAAAAUGCAAUUUACCAUGCAUAAAAUUGC
rnacentral:lncRNA from 1 species